rnacentral:rRNA from 1 species
AGGACGAACGCUGGCGGCGUGCUUAACACAUGCAAGUCGCACGAGAAAGGGGGCUUCGGCUCUGAGUAAAGUGGCGCACGGGUGAGUAACACGUGACUAAUCUACCCUCGAGUGGGGGAAUAACUGAGAGAAAUCUUAGCUAAUACCGCAUAACACUUACGAGUCAAAGCAGCAAUGCGCUUGGGGAGGAGGUCGCGGCCGAUUAGCUAGUUGGCGGGGUAAUGGCCCACCAAGGCGAUGAUCGGUA